UUACUAGAGGAUGUAUCUACAGACUCACUGGACCCACUGUGAGACAGACCUAUGCUAAAACUCCUUUGAUCACUGGUCCUCCACAAGCCCCUAGUAAGACUGAGUCAUCCUAGUAAAAGUCUACAGGUUCCUUGGCAGAAAACCGAUGAAAGAGUAACAGUAUGGAUUUUUGGCAGUGUAUCCAGGUUUUUCUUCAAGGUGACCUGACUGCCCCUUCAUUCAAAGAGUUUCAGAGGGCUCUUCAAAUAUCCUGACCACGUGUUGCAGAGGAAUGGAUACUGCAGAGGGUUUUGACUUGAAUGCCUGGUAUAGGAAGUGGGAAAUAAAGAUAUACAGACCUAAGAAAAGCAUGUUUACACAAGAGACCGAGAGCAAA